rnacentral:lncRNA from 1 species
GCGGGGCUUCCGGCGAGCCCUGGGGGCUGGACCCGCUCGCGGCCGAGUUUCGCCCCCGCCUCCGGAAAAGGCUUUCAAGUCUGGGGGCGGGACUCGGUGCUCCGGGCGACCGAUGGGGCAGUAGCAACGCUCGUGGGCUACCUGGCUGGGAGUUUCUCGGGGUCAUAUCAGGUUUGACCCUAACGAGACCUGUUCGGUACUCAGGUCUUAGGUUCCGUCCUAGACCCGCAUGAUGACGAGUCUUGCUGAGGCCGCUGUCUCCACACUGCCUCCCGCGAUGCCCCCAGGAGCGGAGGAAUGGCAAACUAUUCCUCCUAUUACACCUCAGACUCCUGUCAUUCCCCGGGCCAGAAAGGACUUGGAACCUGGGACCAAGCCUCUUAUUCUUCUGAGGUAUGCUUCUGCUGACCACUGACAUAUCUUCAAUAACCCAUAUCUUCAAGUAAGUAUUUGUCCAUCAGUAACUGAGGGCUGGCUGGGCAGUGGUAGAGGACCCAAGUGAUGGUGAGUAGUCAGAGAUAAGGCUAGACCUGUAACUUUUUUAAAGAUGUAUUUAUUUAUUAUAUGUAAGUACACUGUAGCUGUCUUCAGACACUUCAGAAGAGGGAGUCAGAUCUCCUUAUGAAUGGUUGUGAGCCACCAUGUGGUUGCUGGGAUUUGAACUCAGGACCUUUAGAAGAGCAGUCAAGUGCUCUUACCCGCUGAGCCAUCUCACCAGCCCUAGACCUGUAAUCUUAAUUAUCCAUAUUACUGAUGUAGAUUUUGUAAAAUGAUACUGGGCUGGCUUAAAAUAUGAAGACCAUAAAAUCCAACUGACAUCUCUUUUGAAUGGUUAGACUUGGAGAAGAACCAGUCAGAAGGCUACUACAGGGACUAGAGAGAUGGCACAGAGAUUAAGAGCAAUGACCUUCCAGAGGUCAUGAGUUCAAUUCCCAGCAACCACUUGGAGGUGCAAAAUCAUCUGUAAAGGGAUCUGAUGCCCUCUUCUGGUGUGUCUGAAAACACAUCAGCUACAGUAUACUCAUGUGCAUAAAAUAAAUAAAUAAAUCUUUAAAGAGAAAAAAAAAUA